UACCUGUGAAUAGUACGAAGAAAUUUAAAUUCGAUCUGUUUAAAAGUUCUUUUGGAUCACAAACUGAAUUGGUUUGUUUCUUGUUUUUGCUGUGAGUUGAGUUUGGUAAUUGGUAGUAUUAAAAUGAGUACAAUAUUGUAACAGUCCAUUAUUUUUUCUUAUUUUUUUAUUACAGUUGCUUACUCGUGCUAAGUGAGAGUUGUCACGGGUCGACCGAAGUGGUGUGUGGCCGGUAAAGACGAUAGUUUCAGGCGACCGUUUCUUUUUUUUUCUUUUUUUUGUUGCAGGUGAUCGUGUUGGUAACUACAAUCUUUGUUCAUGUUUAUAAGGCACGAAGUACAUUGCACAAAAAAAUAUACCAUUCAAUUUGUAACCGGAAGAACUUUUCAAUGAUUUUUUUAUCAUAUAACUCAUACUCCCUCCAUUUCACAAAGGUUAGCGUGUUUUGUUUCGUUAAGACAAGCUUUGACCAAUGAUAACUUUAUGUGUUUUUAUAUACAUUAAAUUUAUAUCAAUAGAUUCGUCUUUACAAGUUUUUUCUAAUAAUCAUGAUUUUGUAUCAUAUAUGUUACAUACUAAGAAUGUAAUUCUUGAUCAA
rnacentral:lncRNA from 1 species